AACGUUUUCUAAGAAUUUACAGCUAACAAGGACAAACAGGGCAAGUGUGUCCCCGUGGCUUUUAAUUUAUUUAGUCAAAGAAGUAUGAACGGAUUGGUAAGUGUCGAAAUGUGCAUCAUUUCACACCAUACAGGCCAUCCACAUAGAUCACAGUGAGAUACACAGCUCCAUCUACUGUAAAUAUUUUGAAUUGGAUGUCUCUGGGUUUUGUACCAUAUGGACCUUAGUUUUACUUCACCCUGAAUUGAAUUUAGGAGUUUGUAAGACAGUGCAACAGUUUGGAGCAGCCUCCAGCCCAGGGGGGCAUUUGCUGCUCUGCUAACCCCUGUGCUGCCUCAGAAGGACUGAGGUUUGAGGAUAUGAACGGAGUUACUCUGCUUCCCCUAAAGCCACAGUCGCUGACGUGGGAUGACAUUAAAUGACGAGCGGGGAAAGGACUUCGGGAGGCUGUUGGAGAGGGAGUAGAGAACGCAAGUCCAGGGCGAGGGUAAGGACAGGCCGUGGUGUCUCACUUUUCCUGGCCGACCAGCAUUUCAGGGCCAUGAAAGGACAGGGUCAGAGGUGAUGGUUCUCCUCGGGACCGGGUCCUUCAUUUACAGCAGUUAUGCCAAGCACAGGCCAGACAACACGCCGUGAACUUGGAGAAGGCGCAAGCAGCUACUGUCCAGUAGACAAGAUACUCACACACUACGCUUUGCAGUAAGUGCUAGAAUAAAAGUAUAUGUGAAAUGCCUUGAAAGAAGAAAGAAAAACCUUUGCUCUGUCGUAGGAAGUAGGAGCUGGAGCAGAGAGGCAUCAGGUCUCAGAGUAGGGUGACCUCGCAGGGAAGGAGAUGGUUGAGAUAAACUCUGAAGAACGGUAGGAUUUCCAAGGGCACAGAAAGAGAGGAAGGGCAUUUCAGGCUAGGGGAAGAGCAUGAACUACUGCACAGAGGUGUGAAAUUUCACCAUGUGUUUAGGAAACAAGGGCAGCUAAGCUCAGCAAGCUUGGUAGGAUGGUGGGGCGAGAAGUUCUAUAAGCAGAGUCCAGUUUCUGCAGGACCUUGACUGCCAGGGUGAAACGCUGGCAAACACUGGGGAGCUUUGAGAGCUUUGUAGCAGGGCAGAGACAAGAGAGCAAUCAAUCAUCUGGAAGCGCAACGGAGGGUUUAGGACCAGAGGUCAGAGAGGCCAGUUAGGGAGCUAUUAUAACAAGGUCAGGAGAGAAAUGGAUGAUCAGAACCAGGGCAGUGACAGAAUACAGAGGACAAAACAGAAUCACAGAGGGAGUUCAAAGCUACCUCUGGAAUGUACAGCACUGGGCCAGUAACUGGACAUGGGUGACAUCUUAAACAGGACAGGCUAUUCGGAGAAGGAUUAUUUGGUUAUGAUCCAUCUGUUGGCACAGCAAAUGGCACAUAGAAAGUAUUCUAUCCAUGUAAUCUACUGUAAUCUAUUAUUCUUACCACUAUUAUCACUAUUCUUUUUUUCUUUUCUUUCUGUCUCUUUUUUUCUUUUUUAGGGCCGCACCCACAGCAUACGGAGGUUCCCAGGCUAGGGGUGGAAUGAGAGCUGUAGCUGCCAGCCUGCACCAAAGCCACAACAACGCGGGAUCUGAGCCACAUCUGCAACCUACACCACAGCUCAUGGCAACGCUGGAUCCUUAACCCAGUGAGUGGGGCCAGGGAUCGAACCUGCAUCCUCAUGGAUAGUAGUUGGAUUUGUUUCUGCUGAGCCAUGACAGGAACUCUUUGCUAUUCUUUUUUAAUCUCAAAACUAACUCAUCUUUUGCUGAUUUUUUUUUUUCAGAUACUGUCAUAGAUAACUUUAGGAAAGUUAUGUAUUUGGAUUUCUUCAUAUUAAGCAAAACAUCACUGGAAUCGCAAAUGUCACUAGAAAACCUGUCUCAUUGCAUAAAGAUCAUUAAAC
rnacentral:lncRNA from 1 species